GACGAACGCUGGCGGCGUGCUUAGCACAUGCAAGUCGAACGGAAAGGCACCAGCUUGCUGGAGUACUCGAGCGGCGAACGGGUGAGUAACACGUGGGUAAUCUGCCCUGCACUCUGGGAUAAGCCUGGGAAACUGGGUCUAAUACUGGAUAUGACCUUUCUCCUUAUGGGGUUUGGUGGAAAGUUUUUCGGUGUAGGAUGAGCCCGCGGCCUAUCAGCUUGUUGGUGGGGUGAUGGCCUACCAAGGCGACGACGGGUAGCCGGCCUGAGAGGGUGAUCGGCCACAUUGGGCCUGCGAUACGGCGCAGACUCCUACGGGAGGCAGCAGUGGGGAAUAUUGCACAAUGGGCGGAAGCCUGAUGCAGCGACGCCGCGUGAGGGAUGACGGCCUUCGGGUUGUAAACCUCUUUCAGCAGGGACGAAGCGUAAGUGACGGUACCUGCAGAAGAAGCACCGGCUAACUAUGUG
rnacentral:rRNA from 1 species